GACGAACGCUGGCGGCGUGCUUAACACAUGCAAGUCGAACGGAAAGGCCCUGCUUUUGUGGGGUGCUCGAGUGGCGAACGGGUGAGUAACACGUGAGUAACCUGCCCUUGACUUUGGGAUAACUUCAGGAAACUGGGGCUAAUACCGGAUAGGAGCUCCUGCUGCACGGUGGGGGUUGGAAAGUUUCGGCGGUUGGGGAUGGACUCGCGGCUUAUCAGCUUGUUGGUGGGGUAGUGGCUUACCAAGGCUUUGACGGGUAGCCGGCCUGAGAGGGUGACCGGCCACAUUGGGACUGAGAUACGGACCAGACUCCUACGGGAGGCAGCAGGGGGGAAUAUUGCACAAUGGGCGGAAGCCUGAUGCAGCAACGCCGCGUGCGGGAUGACGGCCUUCGGGUUGUAAACCGAUUUCGCCUGUGACGAAGCGUGAGUGACGGUAAUGGGUAAAGAAGCACCGGCUAACUACGUG
rnacentral:rRNA from 1 species